GUUUGAUCCUGGCUCAGAUUGAACGCUGGCGGAAUGCUUUACACAUGCAAGUCGAGCGGCAGCGCGGGGCAACCUGGCGGCGAGCGGCGAACGGGUGAGUAAUACAUCGGAACGUGCCCAGACGUGGGGGAUAACUACUCGAAAGAGUGGCUAAUACCGCAUACGAUCUACGGAUGAAAGCGGGGGAUCGCAAGACCUCGCGCGUCUGGAGCGGCUGAUGGCAGAUUAGGUAGUUGGUGGGAUAAAAGCCUACCAAGCCAACGAUCUGUAGCUGGUCUGAGAGGAUGAUCAGCCACACUGGGACUGAGACACGGCCCAGACUCCUACGGGAGGCAGCAGUGGGGAAUUUUGGACAAUGGGCGAAAGCCUGAUCCAGCCAUUCCGCGUGCAGGAUGAAGGCCCUCGGUUGUAAACUGCUUUUGUACAGAACGAAAAAGACUCUGGCUAAUACCUGGAGUCCAUGACGGUACUGUAAGAAUAAGCACCGGCUAACUACGUGCCAG
rnacentral:rRNA from 1 species